rnacentral:rRNA from 1 species
AACGAACGCUGGCGGCAGGCUUAGCACAUGCAAGUCGAGCGCCCCGCAAGGGGAGCGGCAGACGGGUGAGUAACGCGUGGGAACGUACCUUUUGGUUCGGAACAACUCCGGGAAACUGGAGCUAAUACCGGAUAAGCCCUAACGGGGAAAGAUUUAUCGCCGAAAGAUCGGCCCGCGUCUGAUUAGCUAGUUGGUGAGGUAACGGCUCACCAAGGCGACGAUCAGUAGCUGGUCUGAGAGGAUGAUCAGCCACACUGGGACUGAGACACGGCCCAGACUCCUACGGGAGGCAGCAGUGGGGAAUAUUGGACAAUGGGCGCAAGCCUGAUCCAGCCAUGCCGCGUGAGUGAUGAAGGCCUUAGGGUUGUAAAGCUCUUUUGUCCGGGAAGAUAAUGACUGUACCGGAAGAAUAAGCCCCGGCUAACUUCGUG